rnacentral:rRNA from 1 species
AUUGAACGCUGGCGGCAGGCUUAACACAUGCAAGUCGAACGAGUGGCGGACGGGUGAGUAAUGUCUGGGAAACUGCCCGAUGGAGGGGGAUAACUACUGGAAACGGUAGCUAAUACCGCAUACCAUCGGAUGUGCCCAGAUGGGAUUGGCUAGUAGGUGGGGUAACGGUUCACCUAGGCGACGAUCCCUAGCCUGUCUGAGAGGAUGACCGGCCACACUGGAACUGAGGCACGGUCCAGACUCCUACGGGAGGCGGCAGGGGGGAAGAUUGGACGAUGGGCGUAAGCCUGAUGCAGCCAUGCCGCGUGUAUGAAGAAGGCCUUCGGGUUGUAAAGUACUUUCAGCGAGGAGGCGUUACUCGCAGAAGAAGCACCGGCUAACUCCGUGCCAGCAGCCGCGGUAAUAC